CAGGUCCUCAGGGCUAGCAGGUGUGGCGCUGAGCUGGGCGUGCACCCUUGAUGUGGUCACUGGCACUGUGUCCUCUGGGGUCCGUCCUUAAGCUCCAGGAGCAAACCUGUGCCUCCCAGGACAGGAGGGCAGGAUGGAGGAGGGAUGGAGGAGGGACACAGAGGAUAAGUGCAUGCAGGUGUGAACAGCGUCCCCACUGCCACCGGACUAGAGUGACAACGUGAAGCGUCUCUGGAGUCUGCCAAGGAUCCUCUGGAAUUCAAAGUCACCGCAGGUGAGAAGCCCUGGUCUGAGCCAUGCCUCCGUGUCCCUGGAUGCACGCUGUGCCUGAGCCCUCUGUCCCCGGGCUGCAGGUGGUGGCUGUUCUACAUGUGGCCCGGCUACUGUUGCCUCCCAAGCCGAAGCCUGACAAAGGACCGGAGGAGUGACACCUCCCCAGCCACAGCUCCCUGCUCAGAGGGCCCCAUUCUUUCCUGGGGGUGGAGACGCCCCCAGAGGAGCGGAGCGGGCAGGCCGCACAUCCGGGGCCCCCAGACCAGAACCAGCCUGCUCACAGGGCCAGUUCCCUUUUGGUUUAACGCUGACACGCCUUGUGGGACCUGAGCCUGUUCCUCUGCGAGCACUUUGACUUGUUGACUUUCUGAAAUCGUGAUUCUCAUGGUGAAUCUGGCCCCAAGCUGCCCACAAUAUCUACGCCAACAUCUCAAUGGGUGCUGCCUUGAAAUCUCCUCCGCUGAUGUGUCCAUCACCUUAAAUUCAGCCUCACAGAAAGUCUCAGAACACGGGCAAAAUGGAGAGAAGUUAUUUUCCAGGAUGUAACAAACGGCCUCUGGUCCAAUUCCCAGCAGAGACCUCGUCCCAUGCGAAGGUUCCUGAGCACAGUCUUACUGUCUGCGUUCCUCCUGGCAUUCUGGAUUCUGGGGUCCCGUCACAAUCACCCACUAAGUUCUCCUUACAUUCGAAGGAGAAUCUCCAGCCUGCAUCUCCGACUUUUCCAAACUCCUCCUACAAACCAGUUCCAAAGGCUUCCAAACCACAGCGCCAGGGGUUCACAUAGUCACAACGAUGACCCCACUUCUGGAACCAAUUUUCUGUAUCAGUCAACACUCGGUCACUGUGACCAAGAUACUUGAUGAAAACAACUUAGAGGAGGGAAGAUCGAUUAUGGCUCGUGGCUUCAGAGUUUUGGUCAGAUGACUCCAUUGCUUUGAACCCGACGUGAGGAGCUGGAGGAGCAGACCCGCUCGGCUCGCGGCAGCCGGGAAGGGCAGAAGUGGGGGAGGGCGGAGAAGACGGAACCUCCUAGGGCUUCCCAAGGCUGACUUCUCCAACUAGGUCCCCGCUCCAGGACUCUCCCAGCCAUCAGUGGGCGAAUCCACUGCUGAGGUCAGAGCCCCGUGAUCCAGCCACUUCCCCAAAGCCCCCUCUGCACCCAGGAGACUCUGAGGACAGUCCAGAUCCUAAUCACCCCAGCAGCAGUGUGGCUCCCCUGCUCUGGCCUCUGCUCCUGCCUCACAUCUCGGGCCUUCCUCUGACAGGGACCCGGUGAUGACUUCAGCCCACCAGGAUCACCGAAGCUAAUGUCCCCAUCUCCGUCCCUAAGUCAGUCCCACCGGCUAGGACGUCCCAAGGUGUGGGGCCCAUAUUCACAGGUUCCAGGAUGGAGCCGUGGAUCUCUUUGGGGCCAUGAUUCAGCCCACUACACAUAGAUCUUGUUAACUCAGAUCAAAGUUUUCUAGUGGAAGGUGAAGUAUCUGAGAAUUAAAGAAAAUAAACAACAGCAGAGGUGACCCUGGCAACACAGCCAAGGACCUGGCAGGGGCCCCCUCAGGGCGGAGUGGGUGCAGCCACAGAGGGCUUUCUUUAUGAGCUCCUCACUGUGUCUUUAGAGACGAAUCACCGUUAUUAUUACUAGUUAAUUAAACAAAUGAUUCGAUUACCACAAAGAAAAGAUGGCUGCUGGGUGUGGUGGUGCACACCUGCCCAGCUACUUUGGAGGCUGAGGCAGGAGGAUGGCAACUUCAAGGCCAGCCUGGAUAACUUAGCAAGACCCUUUCUCAAAUUAACAAGAGCUGGGGACAUAGCUAGUGCAAGAGUGACCCUAGGUUCCAUCCCAAGUACCACCAGAAAAUAACUUAUUAAAUUAACUAAAAAAAGAUUGCAAUGUCUCAGGUGCCCAAGACCCUGGCCCCUCUGGGGGUGUGCCUGAGUUUAAAGGCUGUGAUGUGGAGACCCUGCGUAGAGCAGGCUAUGCUGAGG